CUGCUGCGUGAGAUCAUCAAGUUCUGUGCUUUGAUUGAGAAGCAUAACUCGGCCAUCACACGUGUUUAUGUCUCCAUCUUCAGGAACCUGCUGCUGAAGAUCAGCCUUGUUAUCAUACUGUGUUACCACUGGCUUGGAAAAAUUGCUGUGGAACAAGACCCUCAAGUUUCAAAGUGCUGGGAGAAUUUUGUGGGGCAGGAACUUUAUCGCCUGCUCCUGAUGGACUUCAUCUUUACAGUGCUU